rnacentral:ncRNA from 1 species
UUAUGGUUCUUUCGAUUCUUUCAGGAUCGAGAGCGAAGAGGGAAGCCGGUGCGCCUCAUUGGCAAGUCCGGCGCUGCCCCCGCAACUGUAAGCAGUGAGCCGCUUUCGUUUUGAGUCACUGGUGCCGAACACGUACCGGGAAGGCUGAACAGCGGCGAUGACCUGCAAGCCAGGAGACCUGCCAUAGCGAGA